GGUUCAGACCGUCGUGAGACAGGUUGGUCUCUAUCUGUUGCAGGCGUUAUACACUUGAGGGGAGUUGGCCCUAGUACGAGAGGACUGGGCUGAACAUACCUCUGGUCUACCGGCUUUGGUACCAACUGAAAUGCCGGGUAGCUAUGUUCGGACGGGAUAACCGCUGAAAGCAUCUAAGCGGGAAGCCUCCCCUAAGAAAGAAAUCCCCAAAUCGGU
rnacentral:rRNA from 1 species